rnacentral:rRNA from 1 species
GAUCCUGGCUCAGGACGAACGCUGGCGGCGCGCUUAACACAUGCAAGUCGAGCGAUGAAAUCUUGACAGAACCCUUCGGGGCGAAGAUGAGAUGGAUUAGCGGCGGACGGGUGAGUAACACGUGAGUAACCUGCCUUAGACAUUGGGAUAGCCUCGGGAAACCGGGAUUAAUACCAAAUGAAAUCACAUAUGCACAUGCAUAAAUGAUCAAAGCUCCGGCGGUCUAAGAUGG